GCACGAAACGAAAUGCUUUAGUUUUUCUGAAACAAAAUGCCGAUACAGAAACAAAUCAAGAGCAAUGAUAUGAACACUCCAAACAAAGAGCGGCAGCUUAAUGUAGAGAAAUCAGAAGUGUGCUGCUACGGGUUUCAAAUCCGAACACAAACACAUGAUGCUGCUCCGACUUUCAAAUCCUAUGGGGUUUCUCAUGACUCAACUGGUAUGCUCUUCUAUUACAAUUAUUUACAAUAUUCUUUCUUUUUCUCAUGAUUUUGAGUGGAAUUGCGAAAGGGUUGACUUUAAUCUUGUUUGUUUAUGGGUAUUUGUUUGCUUGUUUAAUCCUUGUGUUUUGUUUGGUUUUUGAUGUUUUUGGCGAUUUUUCGUGUUACAUGUGAGACGCUUCGUUCGCUUCGCAUACGACGAGGCAACUUGAUCGAUAGCAUAGCGGUGGUGGCCGAUGGUGGCGGUGACGACGAUUUCAGAACCGGAUCCGGUUUCAGAAAGGAAAGCGCGCUAAUUAUGCCUUAAUUGAGGGCGGUAAUCGUGCAUGGUUAAUUGCGCCUCUUUAUUGAGGACGUAAAUUUUGCCUCAAUUAUUGAGAUUAUUGGAAGAAGACCGGUUUUCUUUUCGGACAUUAAAGUUUUAUUGUCUAAAUUUCCCCGGUCAUCUUGCAUGUCCGACGGUUAGAUAAUAAGCUUUCUUGAAUGAAAGAAUUAUCACGGUGAAUUGCCGAUUCUCGUUGA